UACGAAGGGGGCUAGCGUUGUUCGGAGUUACUGGGCGUAAAGGGCGCGUAGGCGGCGCAUCAAGUCAGGCGUGAAAGCCCUGGGCUCAACCCGGGAAUUGCGCUUGAUACUGGGGAUCUCGAGUCCGGAAGAGGUUGGUGGAACUGCGAGUGUAGAGGUGAAAUUCGUAGAUAUUCGCAAGAACACCAGUGGCGAAGGCGGCUCACUGGCCCGGUACUGACGCUGAGGUGCGAAAGCGUGGGGAGCAAACAGG
rnacentral:rRNA from 1 species